rnacentral:rRNA from 1 species
GUGUGGGAUGAGCCCGCGGCCUAUCAGCUUGUUGGUGGGGUGACGGCCUACCAAGGCGACGACGGGUAGCCGGCCUGAGAGGGUGUCCGGCCACACUGGGACUGAGAUACGGCCCAGACUCCUACGGGAGGCAGCAGUGGGGAAUAUUGCACAAUGGGCGCAAGCCUGAUGCAGCGACGCCGCGUGGGGGAUGACGGCCUUCGGGUUGUAAACCUCUUUCACCAUCGACGAAGGUCCGGGUUCUCUCGGAUUGACGGUAGGUGGAGAAGAAGCACCGGCCAACUACGUGCCAGCAGCCGCGGUAAUACGUAGGGUGCGAGCGUUGUCCGGAAUUACUGGGCGUAAAGAGCUCGUAGGUGGUUUGUCGCGUUGUUCGUGAAAUCUCACGGCUUAACUGUGAGCGUGCGGGCGAUACGGGCA